CGAAAGUUACGCUAAUACCGCAUACGAUCUAUGGAUGAAAGCGGGGGAUCGCAAGACCUCGCGCGAUUGGAGCGGCCGAUAUCAGAUUAGGUAGUUGGUGAGGUAAAGGCUCACCAAGCCGACGAUCUGUAGCUGGUCUGAGAGGACGACCAGCCACACUGGGACUGAGACACGGCCCAGACUCCUACGGGAGGCAGCAGUGGAGAAUUUUGGACAAUGGGCGCAAGCCUGAUCCAGCAAUGCCGCGUGCAGGAUGAAGGCCUUCGGGUUGUAAACUGCUUUUGUACGGAACGAAACGGUGAGCUCUAAUACAGUUUGCUAAUGACGGUACCGUAAGAAUAAGCACCGGCUAACUACGUG
rnacentral:rRNA from 1 species